rnacentral:rRNA from 1 species
GCCUACGGGACGCAGCAGUAGGGAAUAUUGCUCAAUGGGGGAAACCCUGAAGCAGCAACGCCGCGUGGAGGAUGAAGGUUUUCGGAUUGUAAACUCCUUUUGUUAGAGAAGAUAAUGACGGUAUCUAACGAAUAAGCACCGGCUAACUCCGUGCCAGCAGCCGCGGUAAUUCGGAGGGUGCAAGCGUUACUCGGAAUCACUGGGCGUAAGGAGCGCGUAGGCGGGAUAGCAAGUCAGAUGUGAAAUCCUAUAGCUUAACCAUAGAACUGCAUUUGAAACUGUUAUUCUAGAGUAUGGGAGAGGCA